rnacentral:rRNA from 1 species
UACGUAGGGUGCGAGCGUUAAUCGGAAUUACUGGGCGUAAAGCGUGCGCAGGCGGUUCGCAAAGUCUGAUGUGAAAGCCCCGGGCUCAACCUGGGAACUGCAUUGGAAACUAACGGGCUCGAGUGUGGCAGAGGGGGGUGGGAAUUCCACGUGUAGCAGUGAAAUGCGUAGAGAUGUGGAGGAACACCGAUGGCGAAGGCAGCCCCCUGGGCUAACACUGACGCUCGAGGCACGAAAGCGUGGGGAGCAAACAGG